rnacentral:rRNA from 1 species
AUUGAACGCUGGCGGCAGGCCUAACACAUGCAAGUCGAGCGGAUGAAGGGAGCUUGCUCCUGGAUUCAGCGGCGGACGGGUGAGUAAUGCCUAGGAAUCUGCCUGGUAGUGGGGGAUAACGUCCGGAAACGGGCGCUAAUACCGCAUACGUCCUGAGGGAGAAAGUGGGGGAUCUUCGGACCUCACGCUAUCAGAUGAGCCUAGGUCGGAUUAGCUAGUUGGUGGGGUAAAGGCCUACCAAGGCGACGAUCCGUAACUGGUCUGGGAGGAUGAUCAGUCACACUGGAACUGAGACACGGUACAGACUCCUACGGGAGGCAGCAGUGGGGAAUAUUGGACAAUGGGCGAAAGCCUGAUCCAGCCAUGCCGCGUGUGUGAAGAAGGUCUUCGGAUUGUAAAGCACUUUAAGUUGGGAGGAAGGGCAGUAAGUUAAUACCUUGCUGUUUUGACGUUACCAACAGAAUAAGCACCGGCUAACUUCGUG